rnacentral:rRNA from 1 species
CGAAAGCGUGGGGAGCGAACAGGAUUAGAUACCCUGGUAGUCCACGCCGUAAACGGUGGAUGCUGGAUGUGGGGCCCGUUCCACGGGUUCCGUGUCGGAGCUAACGCGUUAAGCAUCCCGCCUGGGGAGUACGGCCGCAAGGCUAAAACUCAAAGAAAUUGACGGGGGCCCGCACAAGCGGCGGAGCAUGCGGAUUAAUUCGAUGCAACGCGAAGAACCUUACCUGGGCUUGACAUGUUCCCGACAGCCCCAGAGAUGGGGCCUCCCUUCGGGGCGGGUUCACAGGUGGUGCAUGGUCGUCGUCAGCUCGUGUCGUGAGAUGUUGGGUUAAGUCCCGCAACGAGCGCAACCCUCGCCCUGUGUUGCCAGCACGUCAUGGUGGGAACUCACGGGGGACCGCCGGGGUCAACUCGGAGGAAGGUGGGGAUGACGUCAGAUCAUCAUGCCCCUUACGUCCAGGGCUUCACGCAUGCUACAAUGGCCGGUACAACGGGAUGCGACAUGGCGACAUGGAGCGGAUCCCUGAAAACCGGUCUCAGUUCGGAUUGGAGUCUGCAACCCGACUCCAUGAAGGCGGAGUCGCUAGUAAUCGCGGAUCAGCAACGCCGCGGUGAAUGCGUUCCCGGGCCUUGUACACACCGCCCGUCAAGUCAUGAAAGUGGGUAGCACCCGAAGCCGGUGGCCUAACCCCUUGUGGGAUGGAGCCGUCUAAGGUGAGACUCGUGAUUGGGACUAAGUCGUAACAAGGUAGCCGUACCGGAAGGUGCGGCUG